AGCAGCCGCGGUAAUUCCAGCUCCAAUAGCGUAUAUUAAAGUUGUUGCAGUUAAAAGCUCGUAGUUGAAUUUCGGGAUUCUUCCGUUGGUCGGGCCAUCCAGUCUGUACUAGCGUGUAGAAUUCCUACCUUCUGGGGAACCAUCAUGUUAUUAAUUUAGCGUGGUGGGAAACCAGGACCUUUACCUUGAAAAAAUUAGAGUGUUCAAAGCAGGCUUACGUCUGAAUACAUUAGCAUGGAAUAAUAGAAUAGGACGGUGGUCCUGUUUUGUUGGUUUCUGAAUCACCGUAAUGAUUAAUAGGGAUAGUUGGGGGCAUUGGUAUUCAAUUGUCAGAGGUGAAAUUCUUGGAUUUAUUGAAGACUAACUUCUGCGAAAGCAUUUGCCAAGGAUGUUUUCAUUAAUCAAGAACGAAAGUUAGGGGAUCGAAGACGAUCAGAUACCGUGUAGUCUUAACCAUAAACUAUGCCGACUAGGGAUCGGACGAUGUUAAAUUUAUUGACUCGUUCGGCGCCUUACGGGA
rnacentral:rRNA from 1 species